UUUGAAUUUGUUCUAUCUAUAUUGGAAAGUGUAUGAACUAGGUUUUGAACAACUCGUGCAUUUUUUCUGAAAUUUCAUGUUUAUUCAUGUACUAGCUGUAAAUCAGUUCAGUUACACGUAGUAUUUUUUACGCCUUGAUGUUAAAUGUACAGACUAUCUUGAAACUUGAAUGCCGACCAGUUUGUAUUGUCUAUCUAUUUGUUUCCAUUUCUAGUGAUUUUCUUUUCACCUUUGAAGCAAGAUUGUGAUCAUUUCAGUUUGUAAACAUCGAUUUCUCUUAAGUGGAUGGGUAAACUUGGAAGCUUUCUAGUUCUCUGUAGUAAUGUGCAAAGUUUCCACUCGAGAUAGGAUUAAAUUGGAAUCUGCUAGUGUGUCAUUAUCCUCGUGGAUCUAUUUUGUUAUGUGGUUUCAUACUCAAAGGAGCAGGGACAUGUUUAAAAUAAAUCGUCCCAUGAAUUAAGCUGAUUAAUUGCUCUUUAGUUUCUUGUUCAUGCUUAUAGCUGCAGAUUCUUUUAGUGUCAAAUGCACAACUGAUGAAUGUUCACUUGGUUUCAACAUCUUAUGUGUAAUUGCUCUUCAGUUUUUUGUUUGUGCUUACAGCUGCAGAUUUCUUUUAGUAUCAAAUGCACAACUGAUGAAUGUCGACUGUUGCAAAUGUCUUGCUAAGUGUGAUCAUUCCUUCACUGUUUGAAUCUGAGACUAUCUUAGUCCAUUAUUGAGGAAUUUUUGGCAGUUGCAAAUGUCUUAUUCUUUCUUUGUGUUGAUCUUUUAUUUAACUGCUAUGUGAAAUAGUCAUGUGUUGAGGCUCCAUUGUCCAUACAAUGAUGUUUACUAUCUUUAAGUUGGUGCAAACGAAUUCGCUAAUAUCUGAUAGAGUUGUUUUUGGACUAGAAGGGGAAGUCUAAUGAUUU
rnacentral:lncRNA from 1 species